UACGGGGGGAGCAAGCGUUGUUCGGAUUUACUGGGCGUAAAGGGCGCGUAGGCGGCCUGCUAAGUCACACGUGAAAUCCCUCGGCUCAACCGGGGAACUGCGUGUGAUACUGGCGGGCUUGAAUUCGGGAGAGGGAUGUGGAAUUCCAGGUGUAGCGGUGAAAUGCGUAGAUAUCUGGAGGAACACCGAUGGCGAAGGCAGGUCUCUGGGCCACUACUGACGCUGAGAAGCGAAAGCAUGGGGAGCGAACAGG
rnacentral:rRNA from 1 species